rnacentral:rRNA from 1 species
AUACGUAGGUGGCAAGCGUUUGUCCGGAUUUAUUGGGCGUAAAGCGAGCGUCAGGCGGUUUCUUAAGUCUGAUGUGAAAGCCCCCGGCUCAACCGGGGAGGGUCAUUGGAAACUGGGAAACUUGAGUGCAGAAGAGGAGAGUGGAAUUCCAUGUGUAGCGGUGAAAUGCGUAGAUAUAUGGAGGAACACCAGUGGCGAAGGCGGCUCUCUGGUCUGUAACUGACGCUGAGGCUCGAAAGCGUGGGGAGC